rnacentral:rRNA from 1 species
GUAGCGAAAUGCGAUACUUGGUGUGAAUUGCAGAAUCCCGUGAACCAUCGAGUCUUUGAACGCAAGUUGCGCCCGAAGCCUUCUGGCCGAGGGCACGUCUGCCUGGGCGUCACGCAUCGCGUCGCCCCCUCCAAAUCCUCGUGGACUUGUGAGCGGGGCGGAAAAUGGUCUCCCGUGUGCACUUGCGCAUGCGGCUGGCCUAAAUACGAUCCUACAUCGAUGGAUGUCACGAACAGUGGUGGUUGAAUACUCAAUCGUGCUAUCGUGCGUCAUUACGUCGGUCGUCAGGCAUCAAGUUAUACCAAUGGUGCCCUUGGGCGCCUCCGACCGCGACCCCAGGUCAGGCGGGACUACCCGCUGAGUUUAAGCAUAUCAAUAA